rnacentral:rRNA from 1 species
ACGAACGCUGGCGGCGUGCUUCACACCUGCAAGUCGAACGGAAAGGCCCUUCGGGGUACUCGAGUGGCGAACGGGUGAGUAACACGUGGGUGAUCUGCCCUGCACUUUGGGAUAAGCCUGGGAAACUGGGUCUAAUACCGAAUAGGACCACGCGCUUCAUGGUGUGUGGUGGAAAGCUUUUGCGGUGUGGGAUGGGCCCGCGGCCUAUCAGCUUGUUGGUGGGGUAAUGGCCUACCAAGGCGACGACGGGUAGCCGGCCUGAGAGGGUGACCGGCCACACUGGGACUGAGAUACGGCCCAGACUCCUACGGGAGGCAGCAGUGGGGAAUAUUGCACAAUGGGCGCAAGCCUGAUGCAGCGACGCCGCGUGAGGGAUGACGGCCUUCGGGUUGUAAACCUCUUUCAAUAGGGACGAAGCGCAAGUGACGGUACCUAUAGAAGAAGCACCGGCCAACUACGUG